CACGAGUCGAAUGUAAUAUGCGCAUUUGAAAGGGUUGAUUUCAGUUGAGUGGGCUGGGAUAAUAUUCUGCAUUGCUAAAUUAGGAACGAGAUGGUCGCUUUUCCUUGAGAAAGGUUAGAUCAAGGUUAAGAUUUUGAGGGGGAGGUGAAAGUAGUAUUUGAUGAAAUACGUGUUUUGAAAGCGUAAACAUCCUGUAAGCGCACAAGGCGAGACUUGUGAAACUUUCACUUGAUCAUUACAUUUCGAAGCGGUGAGGUUGGUGCUAUCAUCCUCCAUAAGGAUUACAAUGGAAGCUCGUAAUGAACGCAAACGUAGAUGUGUUGACACGUUGGGGGAUGUGCAGCCGUCGGAAGAUCUUAUUUUAAACCUUGCUCCCGAGGAAGGCGAAACCUCCCGCAAAAAACUCAAAAAAAUUAAAAUAUACAUUGGAAAAAAUGUUUCAAUAGAAACUUGUGACUUCAAAAAUGUCAAUUAUGUUUCAUUUGUAAGGGUGUAUCCCGAAACCGCCGCCACCCCCAAAAGAUUUAAUAUAAAUAUGAAUUGUAUUGAUCGUAUAAUCGAAGCUUUGGGGGUGAUUAAGAGUCACUGUAUGUAAAAU
rnacentral:misc_RNA from 1 species